rnacentral:rRNA from 1 species
UAUUGGAGUUCGAUUAAGCCAUGCGAGUCCAGAGCUUUCGGAGCUCGGCGUACCGCUCAGUAACACGUGGGUAACCUAACCUAUGCAGGGGAAUAACCUCGGGAAACUGAGAAUAAUGCCCCAUAGUCCACUACGCCUGGAACGGUGAGUGGAUGAAAGCUCAGGCGGCAUAGGAUGGGCCUGCGGCGUAUCAGGUUGUAGGGGGUGUAAAGUACCCUCUAGCCCUCUACGCGUACGGGUGUUGGGAGACAUAGCCCGGAGAUGGAUUCUGAGACACGAAUCCAGACCCUACGGGGUGCAGCAGGCGCGAAAACUUGGCAAUGCGAGCAAUCGUGACCAGGGAACUCCAAGUGGCUGGGGUAAGACCAGUCUUUUCAGAACUCUUCAAAGGUUUUAGAAUAAGGGGUGGGUAA